rnacentral:piRNA from 1 species
UGCCAGUGAUUGGCUUGGGAAUGGCCACGG